CAGGCGGUGCUAGUGGUAAAGAACCUGCCUGCCAAUACAGAAGACAUAAGAGACGUGGGUUUAUCCCUGGGUUGGGAAGAUCCCCUGGAGGAGGGCAUGGCAAGCCUCUCCAGUAUUUUUGAUUGGAGAAUCCCCAUGGACAGAGGAGCCUCAUGGGCUACAGUCCAUAGGGUCGCAAAGAAGUUGGAUGUGACGGAGCACGCAUGCGUACAGUAGCAGGCACAGAAAACGCACUUUACAACAUCUCCUAUAAUUGUUGGAGAAAAGGAAUAGGAAUGAGACUAGGCUGUGAUCCAAGCCUGAAUGAAAACCCCAUGCCUGGUAGGAGCAAGGAGCAAGCAGUUCUAGGAGGCCAUGAGCAAAGAGGCUAUUUUGGAGUCCUUGGGUUCGGGUUCCAGCUCUGCUGCUCUCCUGGUUCUGGCCCUCAUCUUACUGGGGCUUCUCCUUUGUCCUUGGACGUGGGGUAUCUUUUUUUGGUGGGAUCCAACUUUCUCCUGUGCAUGGUUUUCAGCAGCAAGUUGUAAUUUUGGAGUUUUUGCAGGAGAAGAUGAGUGCACA
rnacentral:lncRNA from 1 species